UGUAAUACUGGAUAUACCUUCUAAUCUAAGAUUAGUCGGGAAACGUUUUUUCGCUUCGAGAUCAGACUAUAUCCCAUCAGCUUGUUGGUGAGGUAAGAGCUCACCAAGGCAAUGACGGGUAGCGGGUUUGAGAGGAUGAUCCGCCACACUGGUACUGAGACACGGACCAG
rnacentral:rRNA from 1 species